UUUACUUCUACUCCGUCAAUUCUGUUUCGCUUCGUGCAAAGUUCCUAAGAAUUAGCCCACGCAAGAAUUUCCCCGAACCGACUCUAUAGCCUUGACUUACCAGUUUUCCCACCUCAUUUCGCAUACCCACAUCCACCGUUUCUUUAUCACAGUUUUUCUGGGUGAUACAUGCCAUCAUGGGCCAACACCAGAUUCCUCUCAGGAACCAUGUUCCAGAUUCCUCGGAUAUCGAGUCAGACAGUGAUAGCAAUCCGCCGAUCGGGAAGGGAAACAACUCCAUUGAUGUGAUAUCGAGGACAAUGAAAGCCCUAGUGAAGAAGAUCCAAGACCUUCGCCAUCUGGGGAUUGAAAACCAUAAACUU
rnacentral:sRNA from 2 species